UACGAGGGGGGCAAGCGUUGUUCGGAAUUAUUGGGCGUAAAGGGCGCGUAGGCGGUUUGACAAGUCUGAUGUGAAAUCUAUGGGCUCAACCCAUAGCCUGCAUUAGAAACUGUCGGGCUUGAGUAUGGGAGAGGUGAGUGGAAUUUCCGGUGUAGCGGUGAAAUGCGUAGAUAUCGGAAGGAACACCUGUGGCGAAAGCGGCUCACUGGACCAUAGCUGACGCUGAGGCGCGAAAGCUAGGGGAGCAAACAGG
rnacentral:rRNA from 1 species